rnacentral:rRNA from 1 species
UACGGAGGGGGCAAGCGUUAUUCGGAAUUAUUGGGCGUAAAGGGCGCGUAGGCGGCUAGAUGUGUCAAAGGUGAAAUCCCUCGGCUCAACUGAGGAACUGCCUUUGAAACUGUCUGGCUUGAGGCCGGGAGAGGGUAGCGGAAUUCCCAGUGUAGCGGUGAAAUGCGUAGAUAUUGGGAGGAACACCAGUGGCGAAGGCGGCUACCUGGACCGGUUCUGACGCUGAGGAGCGAAAGCGUGGGGAGCAAACAGG